UGUCUCUACAUUUUUCUACUUCUUUCUAUAUUAAACUAAAUUAUUAUCUUCAAAAACAAAGCAAUGGGUUUCUUGCUUGUUGAUCUUCAAUUGCUGCUUGCUGGAACCGUUAAACCCAAAGCUUUGAUGUUAUAUUUUAUUAAAAUUUCAAGUUGAAAAUUAGCUUUCAUAGUUUAGUAAUAUACCAAAAAACAUUUUGGCUUUUUAUGUGGUUAACAUAACUACAUAGUGCAAUAAGGUCCACCUUGUAUGAUGUGAUGAUCAGAGUCCACCUUGUAUGAUGUGACUAUCUUCUUAUUCAAUAUGUGUGGUUUUCAGGAAAGCAUUUGCCCAUCAUAUCAAUUAUCAGGCUACUGAGGACAGUGGAUAAAAUUGAUAUAUGGUGUUUUGUUACCAUGAUAUGGAGGGUAAUGGUGGAUGAGUGUGGGAUGACACUAACAGGACAAUAAGAAUCGCGUUUGAGGGAACUGAAAUGCAUUCUAAGCUAGUAUUUCAUCUUAGCCAAGUAUUCAAGUUUAUGAAACUACUGUCUGUAAGACAGGUAUUACGAUGUAAGCAAAUACAGUUGUAGCAAAUAAUAUUAUAUCUUUGAUAAAUAAAAUUAAUUUGAAUUUA